rnacentral:piRNA from 1 species
AUUGUAUGCUGUAUAUACCAUUC